rnacentral:rRNA from 1 species
GACGAACGCUGGCGGCGUGCUUAACACAUGCAAGUCGAACGGAAAGGCCCUGCUUUUGUGGGGUGCUCGAGUGGCGAAAGGGUGAGAAACACGUGAAUAACCUGCCCUUGACUUUGGGAUAACUUCAGGAAACUGGGGCUAAUACCGGAUAUGAGCUCCAGCUGCAUGGGGGGGGUUGGAAAGUUUCGGCGGUUGGGGAUGGACUCGCGGCUUAUCAGCUUGUUGGUGGGGUAGUGGCUUACCAAGGCGUUGACGGGUAGCCGGCCUGAGAGGGUGACCGGCCACAUUGGGACUGAGAUUAGGCCCAGACUCCUACGGGAGGCAGGAGUGGGGAAUAUUGCACAAUGGGCGGAAGCCUGAUGCAGCAACGCCGCGUGCGGGAUGACGGCCUUCGGGUUGUAAACCGCUUUCGCCUGUGACGAAGCGUGAGUGACGGUAAUGGGUAAAGAAGCACCGGCUAACUACGUG